UACGAAGGGGGCUAGCGUUGCUCGGAAUCACUGGGCGUAAAGCGCACGUAGGCGGACUCUUAAGUCGGUGGUGAAAUCCUGGAGCUCAACUCCAGAACUGCCUUCGAUACUGGGAGUCUCGAGUUCGGGAGAGGUGAGUGGAACUGCGAGUGUAGAGGUGAAAUUCGUAGAUAUUCGCAAGAACACCAGUGGCGAAGGCGGCUCACUGGCCCGAUACUGACACUGAGGUGCGAAAGCCAGGGGAGCAAACGGG
rnacentral:rRNA from 1 species